CAUGUAGGCGGUUGUUUAAGUCUGAUGUGAAAGCCCUGGGCUCAACCCCAGGAAGUGCAUUGGAUACUGGGCAACUUGAGUACGGGAGAGGAAAGUCGGAAUUUCGAGUGUAGGGGUGAAAUCCGUAGAUAUUCGAAGGAACACCAGUGGCGAAGGCGGCUUUCUGGACCGAUACUGACGCUGAGAUGCGAAAGCGUGGGGAGCAAACA
rnacentral:rRNA from 1 species